rnacentral:rRNA from 1 species
GACGAACGCUGGCGGCGUGCCUAAUACAUGCAAGUAGAACGCUGAAGGAGGAGCUUGCUUCUCUGGAUGAGUUGCGAACGGGUGAGUAACGCGUAGGUAACCUGCCUGGUAGCGGGGGAUAACUAUUGGAAACGAUAGCUAAUACCGCAUAAUAGUAGAUGUUGCAUGACAUUUGCUUAAAAGGUGCAAUUGCAUCACUACCAGAUGGACCUGCGUUGUAUUAGCUAGUUGGUGGGGUAACGGCUCACCAAGGCGACGAUACAUAGCCGACCUGAGAGGGUGAGCGGCCACACUGGGACUGAGACACGGCCCAGACUCCUACGGGAGGCAGCAGGAGGGAAUCGUCGGCAAUGGACGGAAGUCUGACCGAGCAACGCCGCGGGAGUGAAGAAGGUUUUCGGAUCGUAAAGCUCUGUUGUAAGAGAAGAACGAGUGUGAGAGUGGAAAGUUCACACUGUGACGGUAUCUUACCAGAAAGGGACGGCUAACUACGUG